GACGAACGCUGGCGGCGUGCUUAACACAUGCAAGUCGAGCGGUAAGGCCCUUUCGGGGGUACACGAGCGGCGAACGGGUGAGUAACACGUGGGUGACCUGCCCUCAGCUCUGGGAUAAGCCCGGGAAACUGGGUCUAAUACUGGAUAUGACUCCAUGACGCAUGUUGUGGGGUGGAAAGCCUUGUGCGGCUGAGGAUGGGCCCGCGGCCUAUCAGCUUGUUGGUGGGGNGAUGGCCUACCAAGGCGACGACGGGUAGCCGGCCUGAGAGGGCGACCGGCCACACUGGGACUGAGAUACGGCCCAGACUCCUACGGGAGGCAGCAGUGGGGAAUCUUGCGCAAUGGGCGAAAGCCUGACGCAGCGACGCCGCGUGAGGGAUGACGGCCU
rnacentral:rRNA from 1 species